rfam:Helianthus annuus linkage group 2, whole genome shotgun sequence.
CCAAAGGACUUCUUAAAGUCCAUAAAAGUUAUCCAAACAGUAGUUCU